rnacentral:rRNA from 1 species
UAGCGAGCGUGUGUUUAAUUCGAUGCUACNCGAAGAACUUACCCAGGUUUGACAUACAGGUAGUAGGGAAACGAAAGUGNGACCGACCCGCAAGGGAGCCUGAACAGGUGCUGCAUGGCUGUCGUCAGCUCGUGUCGUGAGAUGUCCGGUUAAGUCCGGUAACGAGCGCAACCCUCGUCGCGUGUUACAAGUGUCACGCGAGACUGCUGGUAUAAAGCCGGAGGAAGGUGGGGAUGACGUCAAGUCAGCAUGGCCUUUAUGCCUGGGGCUACACACACGCUACAAUGGCCGGUACAAUAGGUUGCAAAGCCGCGAGGUGGAGCCAAUCCUCAAAGCCGGUCUCAGUUCAGAUUGCAGGCUGCAACUCGCCUGCAUGAAGUCUGAGUUGCUAUA